UGGGGAAUAUUGGACAAUGGGCGAAAGCCUGAUCCAGCAAUGCCGCGUGUGCGAUGAAGGCCUUCGGGUUGUAAAGCACUUUCAAUAGUGAAGAAAACCACGAGAUUAAUACCCUCGUGGCCUGACGUUAACUAUACAAGAAGCACCGGCUAACUCUGUGCCAGCAGCCGCGGUAAUACAGAGGGUGCAAGCGUUAAUCGGAGUUACUGGGCGUAAAGCGCGCGUAGGCGGAUAUAAAAGUCAGAUGUGAAAUCCCUGGGCUUAACCUAGGAACUGCAUUUGAUACUCUAUAUCUAGAGUAUGGUAGAGGGAAGUGGAAUUUCCGGUGUAGCGGUGAAAUGCAUAGAUAUCGGAAGGAACAUCAGUGGCGAAGGCGACUUCCUGGACCAAUACUGACGCUGAGGUGCGAAAGCAUGGGGAGCAAACAGG
rnacentral:rRNA from 1 species